CUGCACACAACAACACCGUUGAGCAGCAGCGAGUCGACUGUCGCCCCCCGGCCUCGCCGUACAUGGAGACCCCCAGCUGGGCAGGAAACAGGUUGUGUAAGUCCGGAAGCUUCGCCGUCUUCGGGAACGUCGUCUACAGCGGCCUGCUGAACGACCACCUCUGGCACCUGGGGGUCCCGCUCUUCACCAGACUGGUAAGACGCCUCGCCGC